UCCUGGGGCGCAGCCUGAUCUAGCCAUGCCGCGUGAGUGAUGAAGGCCUUAGGGUCGUAAAGCUCUUUCGCCUGUGAUGAUAAUGACAGUAGCAGGUAAAAAAACCCCGGCUAACUCCGUGCCACCACCCGCGGUAAUACGGAGGGGGUUAGCGUUGUUCGGAAUUACUGGGCGUAAAGCGCGCGUAGGCGGAUUAGAAAGUUGGGGGUGAAAUCCCGGGGCUCAACCCCGGAACUGCCUCCAAAACUGCUAGUCUAGAGUUCGAGAGAGGUGAGUGGAAUUCCUAGUGUAGAGGUGAAAUUCGUAUAUAUUCCGAGGAACACCACUGGCGAAGGCGGCUCACUGGCUCGAUACUGACGCUGACGUGCAAAAGUGUGGGGAGCAAACAGGAUUAAAUACCCUGGUAGUCCACUCCGUAAACGAUGAAUGCCAGUCGUCUGAUAAUAUACUAUUCGGUGACACACCUAACGGAUUAAGCAUUCCGCCUGGGGAGUACGGUCCCCAGAUUAAAACUCAAAUGAAUUGACGG
rnacentral:rRNA from 1 species